CACUUACUUGAAUGGGAAUGAUAAGUGAAAAUUCUGUAUGGAAUCAUGCAUUCAUCAAACACAGUUAUCUUCUGAAUUUUCCUUGCUUGGUUAUUACAUUGUUUUGGAAAACUUUGACAUAAAUAUAUUAAGAGAAAAUUGCAUGAAAGACUCCUGCCACCACCUUGAGAAGACGCUGUCUCCAGCUUGCAGGUGAAAUAUAAAAGAAGUCCAAUGAAAGUGAGCUGAGUGUCCCCAGUGAUGCCAUCAAGAUGAACUAACUACAGUUAAACAGCCAGCUGACAGCAGAUACAUGAGUGAGCCCAUCUGAGAGCAGGUUUUCAUGCUUGCUGUGUAAAUGAUUCUGGGCAUCUGAUGAAUGGCAGACAAGCCACAACCUCAAGGUGUCUUUCCAGAAACUGCCAUGUCUCUUUUCAUAUCUAUUUAGAAUACAUUUUUGCACUUAAUAUUAGGUACUAUGCAGAUAUAUCAAGGGAGUAAUGACUGCUUUUUCUAUUUCCUUAAGUUGUAGAUAACUUGAGAAGUGGCAAGAGACAGCAUGGCCUUUUUCUGAAUGUGUCUUUUUAAAAAAGUUUAGUUAACCACACGUGGUAGAUUUUAUUAUUGUUCCCAACUACCUGUUCCUUUCCCAAGAGGCAUAUAUAUAUCCACUCCUUUUGCCAUCUGACUGCCACUGCAAUCUACUAUAUAGAAUACAUCUCCAGUGCCUUGGUAAGCUUGGACAUGUGACUUUCUUAGGGGAUGUAUGUAGACAUAAUAUAAACCAUGUUUUAGCAGGUAGAGUUCUUAAUCAUCCUAGCCUGGGUCCCAGCAUAAAAAGAUACUUAGAGCAGGGCUGAGCAGAGUUAACAGCAACUCUUAGACCUGUGAGUGAAAAAUGUAUUUGCUGUUGAAAACCACAGUAUUGAGAUUUUAGGGUUGUUUGUUUUCAUAACCAAACUGUUAACACACUGUAUAAACUGUGAAAUGAUCAUUUCCUGUGAUGGGCCAUGUAGACAACUGUCAUGGCUGCCAACCAUAGAAUGAGUUAUCUCUUUGCAUGCUCUGUAAAGAAAGGACUGCUGUCAUCAUCCAUUAUUUCACGCAUUUGAAGGUAAUAAGCAAGAGAACUUUCAGCUGUGAAGAAUAUCUAUAAAUGUAUAUGUUUUCUAUUUCUUUGUAAAAGAUGAUCAAUAGACUAGGUAUGGGUGAACACCUUAAGUUCAAAAACAGAAAUUUGUGUGGUACCUGUUAGCCUAUUGUAAGAGUCUACUUUUAGAAUGUUCUCAGUAAAGUGACUAUUUGGAAGAACCAUGGGAACAUCAUUUAUUUGCUCAACCAUUUGCUUGUUCAUUAUUAUUACUUCCAUGAGAACUAGGAAGAUAUUAACAGAAAAAGGUGGAGUCUUGGCUUUUAGAAUAAGAAAUAAAUUAUCAGGAGAGAUAGAAAGAUCUGCUAAUUCAUCCUAACAUCCAGGGCACUCUCAGUUUUGCAGACUGAUUCCAAAGCCAAAUAUUUUGCAUUUCCCAUAGAUUGAGAUAAACCUUAGAAUGGAGAGUGUAUUUUAUUCCCUUGUGAAAUAUUUUGUAAGUAUGUAAUUUUCUUCAUUCCUGGUUGUGGUCAUCAUCUAUGUCUUUUUCUCCAUAGAUAAAUCUAGUAAAAGUGGUAAAACAAAGAAUAUCUGUAUACCUGUUUUAGUUAGUUAGUAGUGAGGACAAAGUUUAGAAAUCUAUAUCCUAUUUCCCAGAAGGAUCUGCAAGUGGGGUGGUGAUGGUAACAAGAACAUCCCAGGUUAGAAGUAGGCAUAGUGGCUUCUUAAGAGGAUGAAGUCAAAGGGCAAAUAUCAGGGAUAUAUGAGGAAAGAGUGGGGAUUUUCUGGGAAUUGUUUCAAACUGAGAAGAGGGGAUUAAGUUUUAGAGAACUUAGCCUAUUUGGCCAAGUUUGAGCAUGGUCCCCAAGUUUUUCCUUUUUUCCCUUAAAAAUUUGUUGAAGGAUAACUAUAAUAUAAUAUAAUAAAAGGCACCCAUGUUAAGUGUAUAAUAUAAUGAGUUUUGGAAAAAUGUAUAACUCAUAUAUACCACCAAAUUAAGACACGGAAUACUUUCACCACCCCCCCAAAAGUACCUGUAUGAUACUUCCAGUCGAUUCCACCAUCCCUGGGCCCAGGCAAUAAAUUAUUUGCUUUUCACAGUAAAAUAGUUUAGCCUCUUCUAAAAUUUCAUAUAAAUGAAUGUUUAAUGGAAUCUUUCAUGUUUUUCUUUUGCUCAGCAUCUUUUGAGAUUCAUCUGUGAUAUUACUGCAUCAAUAGUUUAUCUUUUUUGCUGCGGUAUUAUGUUCCAUUGUAUGUGUACACCACAGUCUAUUUUAACCAUUUACCUGUUGUUAGAAAUUUUGUUGGUUUCCAGGUUUUGGGAAUUGUGAGAAUAAAGCUACUUAUGGACAUUUGGGUAAAAUCUUUGUAAACAUAUGUUUUCACUUUUGUUAAGCAAGUAGGUAGGAGUGGAAUCUCCAGAUCAUAAGGUAGAUAUGUAUUUUAAAUUUUUGA